AUAAUUUACCACACAUUUAAUUGUUUCACAUAAAAAUAAUGAGAAUUUCUAAAACGGCCCAAAAAUGCUCUGGAAGGUAAGACUAUAGUCUUAUGUAAUUUUGCAAUUUUGGAAAAAAAGUAAAGGUAAUUUUUAUGAUAAAUACAGAGCUGAGUGCUUCUAAAAGUCAUUAUGGGGAAAUUUAAAACUCAUUUAAGUGUUUCCUAUUAAAAUAAUGAACAUUUACAAAUGGUCCAAAAAUGCUC